rnacentral:lncRNA from 1 species
GAGGGACCCCAAAGCCAGGUCUGGAAAAGGGGGGUGGGUUGGGUGGUGGGGGUGCAGCCCCCAAAGAAAUGGGGGUCGAAAUGGAGGAAACCCCACUGAGAUGCUCAAAUGUAAAACCGCUGAAGAAUAAAGGGACAAAUGUACACAUCUGUCUAAAUGAAAAAAAUGAAAAUCCUGGCCGCAAAAACACAUACAUUAACGUCUAAAGACCUGCAGGGAAGACAAGACUUUUCCGCCUGGGACACAUGAAAGACAUCGAGCUAAUUUCCUUAAUAAAUGAAGAGCUCUUGGAAACCAACGAGAUAAAGACCAAACCAAGACAGAAAAAUGGGCAAAAGGGAUAAAACUGGCAAUUCGCAAGAAAAUCCAAACGGCUGGCCGACCUGCGAAGGAAACAUCACGACCUGUUUGCAUAAAGAAAUGCAAACCUGAAACACCGGGCACGUGCGGUUUAGGGGAGCGGGCAGUCUCACACACUACUGAGUUGUUUCCCAGCAGCCGUCAAUACAGACCUUCCACUGCGUAAGCCCACUGCAUUGCCAUUUAAUAAAACAGCAAGAAAAUGAGAGAGAAAAAUAAUGAGGUAGAAUUGUAUGGGAUUAUUAAGGAUUGAAUUCUCAGUAGAUUUAGUGAAAUAUACAAGUUACUGAAGUUUGUAGAAACGAACUGGUAAGUGUUUUCUCAUUUAUUUGUUUUUUAAGGAUAAACCCAAAUAUAGGUAAAACUGUUGGAAAGGUAGGCAAGAAAUUGUUGAUGAGUUACUUCUAGGGACAAGGAAUGUGGGGUGGAAGAGGGAUUUUUCCCUUCUGCCAUCCAUACUGUGAAUUUCCUUGGCAGAAAUACGUAUUUCUUCUCUGGCAGUAAAAUCAAUGAAUUACUAAAAGUUCACUAAUGUACUCUUUGGUCCAACUAUUCCACUCUCAAGGAACUAAAAAAGCAAAGGAAAUACAGGGAUAUACAGAAGAUUCUAUACAGGGAUAUUCACGGAGCAUCAUUUUUAUCACCAAAAAUGUGCUCCACAGAAAAGAAUUAAACUGUAUUCUGGUAAAUUUACACAGCGCGAUUUUAACUGACUAAUAAAAAUGCUGUAUGAUUUUAACUUUAAAGGAAAAAAUCUGUAAGAUGUGGUUAAUUACCAAAAGGUGUUUACCUAAGGAGCACACAGACUUUAAUACCCCAAAUUAAACUUUAUAUUAUACUCAAGGAGUUAUCAGUGGUUGCUUGCUACACUGAGAAGCUGCUUUAUGUGUUUUAGACUCCCUAGACCAUCAACAGUCUCUUUUUGCCCAGCAGUGCCACAUAAACAUAAUAUACGAAUGAAAACACUGUGCUUCUUAUGAAAAUACACGUUCAAAACAAAUUCCCCAGCAGGAAUAUUGAA